rnacentral:misc_RNA from 1 species
AGGUGAACCUGCGGAAGGAUCAUUACCACACUUAAAAAACUUUCCACGUGAACUGUCGUUAUUUGUUGUGUGUCUGCGCGUUGCUGGCGUGCGUUUGCUUACGCUUCGGUGUUUGCGAGUGCGUGCUGGCGGUGCGCGGACUGAACGAAGGUCGUGUUGCUGUGUGCCUGCUGCACUGCUGACUUUGCAUUGAUUUGCAUGGUCUUGGCGGAGCGGCGGGUGCUGUGCGUGCGCGGCUGACUUACUUUUUCAAACCCCAUACCUAACUUACUGAUUAUACUGUGAGAACGAAAGUUCUUGCUUUUAACUAGAUAACAACUUUCAGCAGUGGAUGUCUAGGCUCGCA